rnacentral:rRNA from 1 species
UACGAGGGGGGCGAGCGUUGUUCGGAAUCACUGGGCGUAAAGCGUGCGUAGGCGGUUGGCUAAGUCAGAUGUGAAAGCCCUGGGCUCAACCUGGGAAUGGCAUUUGAAACUGGCCGGCUAGAGUGUGAUAGAGGAUGGCGGAAUUCCCGGUGUAGCGGUGAAAUGCGUAGAGAUCGGGAGGAACAUCCGUGGCGAAGGCGGCCAUCUGGAUCAACACUGACGCUGAGGCACGAAAGCGUGGGGAGCAAACAGG